rnacentral:rRNA from 1 species
ACGCGAAAGCCCCCUUCGGGGGGCAAGUAGAGUGGCGCACGGGUGAGUGACACGUAGGUAAUCUACCUUUGGAUGGGGAAUAACAACCGGAAACGGUUGCUAAUACCGCAUAAUGCAGCGGCACCUAAUGGUGACAGUUGUUAAAGCGGGGGAUCGCAAGACCCCGCGUCUGAAGAGGAGCCUGCGGCGGAUUAGCUAGUUGGUAAGGUAACGGCUUACCAAGGCUAUGAUCCGUAGCCGGCCUGAGAGGGCGGUCGGCCACACUGACACUGACAUACGGGUCAGACUCCUACGGGAGGCAGCAGCCGGGAAUUUUGGGCAAUGGGCGAAAGCCUGACCCAGCAACGCCGCGUGAAGGAUGAAAUCCCUCGGGAUGUAAACUUCGCAAGAACAGGAAGAAUAAGUAAGAGUUAAUAUCUCUUACGAUGACGGUACUGUUUGUAAGCUCCGGCUAACUCCGUGCCAGCAGCCGCGGUAAUACGGGGGGAGCAAGCGUUG